AUUGAACGAUGGCGGCAGGCUUAACACAUGCAAGUCGAACGAGUGGCGGACGGGUGAGUAAUGCUUGGGAAUCUAGCUUAUGGAGCGGGAUAACUACGGGAAACGGUAGCUAAUACCGCAUACCUUAGGUUGAGCCCAAGAGGGAUAAGAUAGUUGGUGAGGUAAAGGCUCACCAAGCCGACGAUCCCGAGCUGGUCUGAGAGGAUGACCAGCCACACUGGGACUGAGACACGGCCCAGACUCCUACGGGAGGCAGCAGUGGGGAAUAUUGCGCAAUGGGGGCAACCUGACGCAGCCAUGCCGCGGGAAUGAAGAAGGCCUUCGGGUUGUAAAGUUCUUUCGGUAGCGAGGCGUUAUCUACAGAAGAAGCACCGGCUAACUCCGUGCCAGCAGCCGCGGUAAUUC
rnacentral:rRNA from 1 species